rnacentral:rRNA from 1 species
CAGCAGCCGCGGGAAUACAGAGGAUGCAAGCGUUAUCCGGAAUGAUUGGGCGCAAAGCGUCUGUAGGUGGCUUUUCAAGUCCGCCGUCAAAUCCCAGGGCUCAACCCUGGACAGGCGGUGGAAACUACCAAGCUGGAGUACGGUAGGGGCAGAGGGAAUUUCCAGUGGAGCGGUGAAAUGCGUUGAGAUCGAAAAGAACACCAACAGCGAAAGCACUCUGCUGGGACGACACUGACACUAAGAGACGAAAGCUAGGGGAGCAAAUGGGAUUAGAUACCCCAGUAGUCCCUGUCUCUUAUAC